CCUUGAGGAGAGCGCUGUGAGGAGAGCGCUGAGGGAUGUGGGGAGAAAUUGCUGCUCGAAUCCAGCUGAGGCCGUCGCCUCUCGUCCCGUCCUGCUGACUCCCCAGAAGCAGAAUGGGGAGAAUGAGUAAAUGUCAGUUGUUGCCCCAAGCUGAGCGUCUUGGGCCUCACCCUCAGCGCCCGACAGACCCCAUCUCCUCGGGUCCCACAGGAGAAGCCUCCAGCUGGUCUGUAAAUCCGAGGUCAGCGACAGGCUACGAGCAAGGGAGGCUUUAGGCAUGGCACGUCAUGAGGCAGAGGGUUGUCUUGUGAUCGUUUUCUCCUCUUGCCCUGCCACAGGAUGAAUUCCUUCUCACGGUUUGGCUGCCAUACCACCAUCCCACGGACCACAACAGGAGAAAGCAGGGAAGCACCAAGAGCACAUCCAAGGGACUUCCAGCUGUCAGGAGCUGCUGUGGCUGCGGUGGAGAUGAUGGUGAGGGAUCUGAGGCCCUUGGACCCAUUUGCCAUCCAGUAGCAGAGGUGCUGUGCAAGCUAAGCUCCCCACCUCCACCAUCGAAGGUUGGGCUGAAUGUCUGGACAGUGCCCCACAGCGUGCCUGGUGGGCUUGGAGGGAGAUAGCAUCUGACUCUCUCUCAUCCUGGCAAGAAGAUUGCCUUACUUUAUAAUGCUGCAAAUCAGAUGCCAAGAACACGCUUUUGCCAUCCAGAGGAGGCAAGGCUGUUAGGAGUGGAGGCGUUGACAUAAAGUGCCUUUGGGGGAAAUGGCACAGAGCAGCAUCCCUAGUUCAAGAGGCUGUCUGAGUGUAGCAACAGUCUCUUGUUCCCAGGCUCUGGGCCAGGGUAAAUUGGCUGCAGUGUACUUUGGGAAUGAGGAGUUUGCCUCCAGGAGAAAAAGGGUUUAGAACAGCUUUGCCGAGAGUCCCUCUUCAGCUCAUCCACGCAGAGGGACGGCUGCCAGCUCCUCGGGUGGGCCCGGUGCUGCCUUCCCUGGAUGCAGCAGGAGCUGCUCUUAGCAGGUACAAAUGGGAGAUUUAGAUAUGGGGACACAAGUGGAGACACCCAGACUGAAUUUGCUAAUGUGAAGCAACCAGAGCUGACAGAAUGAGAUGAUCCCAACAGGCAGGAGAAGAAGGCAGGCACUAGGACUGCGCUCUCCAUGCUCCAAAUGCCAAGGUUUGCCUGUGCCCCCCUCGUCCUCCACAAGGUGCCAAGCAUUCAAAUGUAUCACAAAGGGGUACAUCAGAUCUGAGCACAGAGAGCCUCAGCCCUAUACCCUGCCCAGACCUGUGCCCAGGAUAUGUCCCCUCCCCCGGGCCUGUAUCCCAUGGCCCAUGUGGAUCCCCUCCCCACUGGAGAGGACAUGCAGGCUGUGUCCCUGAGAGCCUUGACUCGUGCAACCCACAUCCAUACCAUUACACUGCCUUUAAAACAGAGCGGCCCUACAAACCUCUUGCUGGGCGCCGCUCUCAGUUCCGUGCCAGCCCUAAGCCCAGCCAGAUGCCCAGUGCAGGGCUGGUUGGCUGUGUCAUUUUCUGUGGGUCAGGUUGCUCUUUUCCCUGGCACGGCUUUCUAGCAUACAGAAACUCCUCGAGCCAUUUUAAUUAGCUCGUGAAUAACUUUUUUUUUCCCUACUGCAUUUCAGUUAAACUUCAUGAAAUUCUGUGACUUGGUACAAACAGUGAGUAAGCAAAUGCACAGCAUCCGUUAUUCUGUCACUUAAAACAUCUAAGUUAAAAUGUUGGAAAAUGAGUAUAUGAAAAGAAUAGUGAUCUAAACAUGUGUUUCAGUUCCAGAAUCAUGGCAAACUAGAGCCGGGAGGAACCUUGGAUGGAUGUUCAGCUCACCCUGUACCCAGAACGAGGUCAGCUGUGACUUCCUGGUGUUAUUACUGAUCUCCAAGGACGGGCGUAAUGAGGCAGAGGGGAGGAGCAGCUUUCUCGGGUGCAUGGAACUCUCCAAACCUGCAGCUAGGGCAUCUCCAGCCAACAUAU